GGUGAACGCUGGCGGCGUGCCUAAUACAUGCCAGUCGAGCGAACAGACGAGGAGCUUGCUCCUCUGACGUUAGCGGCGGACGGGUGAGUAACACGUGGAUAACCUACCUAUAAGACUGGGAUAACUUCGGGAAACCGGAGCUAAUACCGGAUAAUAUAUUGAACCGCAUGGUUCAAUAGUGAAAGACGGUUUUGCUGUCACUUAUAGAUGGAUCCGCGCCGCAUUAGCUAGUUGGUAAGGUAACGGCUUACCAAGGCAACGAUGCGUAGCCGACCUGAGAGGGUGAUCGGCCACACUGGAACUGAGACACGGUCCAGACUCCUGCGGGAGGCAGCAGUAGGGAAUCUUCCGCAAUGGGCGAGAGCUUGACGGAGCAACGCCGCGUGAGUGAUGAAGGUCUUCGGAUCGUAAAACUCUGUUAUUAGGGAAGAACAAAUGUGUAAGUAACUAUGCACGUCUUGACGGUACCUAAUCAGAAAGCCACGGCUAACUACGUG
rnacentral:rRNA from 1 species